rnacentral:rRNA from 1 species
GACGAACGCUGGCGGCGUGCUUAACACAUGCAAGUCGAACGGAAAGGCCCUGCUUUUGUGGGGUGCUCGAGUGGCGAACGGGUGAGUAACACGUGAGUAACCUGCCCUUGACUUUGGGAUAACUUCAGGAAACUGGGGCUAAUACCGGAUAGGAGCUCCUGCUGCAUGGUGGGGGUUAGAAAGUUUCGGCGGUUGGGGAUGGACUCGCGGCUUAUCAGCUUGUUGGUGGGGUAGUGGCUUACCAAGGCUUUGACGGGUAGCCGGCCUGAGAGGGUGACCGGCCACAUGGGGACUGAGAUACGGACCAGACUGCAACGGGAGGCAGCAGUGGAGAAUAUUGCACAGUGGGCGGAAGCCUGAUGCAGCAACGCCGCGUGCGGGAUGACGGCCUUCGGGUUGUAAACCGCUUUCGCCUGUGACGAAGCGUGAGUGACGGUAAUGGGUAAAGAAGCACCGGCUAACUACGUG